AUUGAACGCUGGCGGCAGGCCUAACACAUGCAAGUCGAACGAGUGGCGGACGGGUGAGUAAUGUCUGGGAAACUGCCUGAUGGAGGGGGAUAACUACUGGAAACGGUAGCUAAUCCCGCAUACCAUCAGAUGUUCCCAGAUGGGAUUAGCUGGGUGGUGGGGUAACGGGUCACCAAGGGGGCGAUCCCUAGCUGGUCUGAGAGGAUGACCGGCCACACGGGAACUGAGACACGGUCCAGACGCCUGCGGGAGGCAGCAGUGGGGAAUAUUGCACAAUGGGCGCAAGCCUGAUGCAGCCAGGCCGCGUGUAUGAAGAAGGCCUUCGGGUUGUAAAGUACUUUCAGCGGGGAGGCGUUACCCGCAGAAGAAGCACCGGCUAACUCCGUGCCAGCCGCCGCGGUAAUUC
rnacentral:rRNA from 1 species